UCGAAACCAAUUACCUCCAUUGACUCUGAUUGUUUAUGUUAAAAUCCCCAAAAUUGAUUUUAGGGCUUUAUCCUAGUUCCUGUAAUAUACUGAUUCCUUUCAAUCCGUCUAUAGAUAGUAAAAAGGCGGGAAACGAGCCCUAAUCGGGCGUGUCUCCUUGCAAUCUCCAUUCCAAUUUCCCAAACAUUUCCUUCGUGGCUACAUCUCUCUCUAACCCCAAAAUCCCACAAUUUGAAGAAAACGUGGAAGUUUCUAAAACCCUAAAUUGAGCUGAUUGGAUGGAGAUCUCCUCCAAUUCGGAGACCAAACUCCCUGUUCGUCGGCGAUUGAUUCAAUCGACACUGGUCCCGCACAAGUCUCAAGACAAUGUCGUCAGUGUAAACGAAGAUCUCGAACCUUAUGUAGACCUCGUAGACGAGGAAGAGGAGUAUUGCGGGAGUCAGAUUCAAGUCAAGAAAAACGAAAAGCGAAAGCCAAAAGUAGUGUCUCAAACUGGAGUUUCAACGAAGCUUGCUGUAAAUGGAAAUGAGCUUUUAGGAAAGAAUACCGAGGAAGAAGAUUCUCCUGCUACUGUUAAAUGUGACUUCUUCUUGAAAGUUUCUGAGAAACGUCGUCAAUUGAGACAGCAAAAGGAGCAGUUGCCUAUCACUUCACCUGAUAAAAAUGAACAAAAGGAAGAUCUUGAACCUGAUGUAGACCAUGAAGAUGAUGACGAGGAGUAUUGUGGGAGUCAGAGUCAAGGCAAGAAAAAUAAAAAGAGAAAGCCAAAAGCAGUGUCUCAAUCGCGAGCUUCAAGAAAGCUUGCUGUAAAUGGAAAUGAGAUUGGAGGAAAGAAUACCGAGGAAGAAGAUUCUCCUGCUACUGUUAAAGGUGAUUUCUUCUUAAAAGUUUCUGAGAGACGCCAUCAACAGAAACAGAAAAAGGAGCAGUUGCCUAUCCAUACACCUGAAAAAAUUGAGCUGAAUUGUUCACCAUCAGAUGUCAUUACAAGUCAAGCUAGCUCUACACCAAAAAAGCAAAUGAACUCAACACCACCUAGAAAUGUUGUUAAUGGGGCUUUAGCUGAAGAUUUAUCAGAGAAAAUGUUGACUAGUCCACCUAAGCCACUUCCUGAUCUACAGUUGGAGGCAAAAAUGACUGCAGAGCCUGCUGUAAAUGGAAAUGAGAUUGGAGGCAAGAAUAUCGAGGAAGAAGAUUCCCCUGCUACUGUUAAAUGUGAUUUCUUUUUGAAAGUUUCGGAGAAACGUCAACUGAGACAGCAAAAGGAGCAGUUGCCUAUCAAUUCAUCUGAUAAAAUUGAACAAAAUGAAGAUCUUGAACCUGAUGUAGAUCAUGAAGAUGAUGAUGAGGAGUAUUGUGGGAGUCAGAGUCAAGGCAAGAAAAAUAAAAAGCGAAAGCCAAAAGCAGUGUCCCAAUCGCGAGCUUCAAGAAAGCUUGCUGUAAAUGGAAAUGAAGUUGGAGGAAAGAAUACCGAGGAAGAAAAUUCUCCUGCUACUGUUAAAGGUGAUUUCUUUUUAAAAGUUUCUCAGAGACGCAAUCAACGGAGACAGAAAAAGGAGCAGUUGCCAACCCAUACACCUGAAAAAGCUGAGCUAAAUUGUUCGCCAUCAGAUGUCAUUACAAAUUCAAAGAGUCCUAGGAAGCUCAGAAGGCGAACUAGCUCUACACCAAAAAAGAAAAUGAAUUCAACACCAUCUAGAAAUGCUGUUAAUGGGGCUUUAGAUGAAGAUUUAUCAGAGAAAGUGCUGACUAGUCCACUUAAGCCACUUCCUGAUCUACGGUUGGAGGCAAAAAUGACUGCAGAGGAAAAUUCACGUAUAUUUGCAGGAAAACAAAUACAUCCUUUCUUUUCAUCUUGGAAAACAGGCAAGAAAAACACUGAGAGUACUGGUUUAGAGAUUAAAUGGAGUCAUGUUGAGGGAAAGGAAAGCAGCAAUGAUUUCAGUACUUUUCAUAUAUUUGAGAAAACACAGGGUGAAGAAACUUUUUCUGUCGAUUGGAGAAACUGGACAUUUUCUGAAGGUGUCUCCAUGAGGACUAGUCAAGAUGCAGAAGAUGCUUGCUUGCAUCUGAUCAAUGAAGGAUCAGUCAGUUGCUUGCAGUUUGAUAAUUUCCUUGAUGCCCCUCCACUUGAAGUAUCAUCAUGUCAGAACAAGGGGUAUUCGAGUCAAUUUCCUAUCCAACUUGAAGAGAUCUCUUCCAUACCUCCAAAUUAUCAGCCUGAGAAUAGCUUAUGGACAACCAAGUAUCAGCCUGAAAAGGCCAUUGAGAUAUGUGGGAACAAUGAAUCUGUGAAGUUUCUGAGCGAAUGGUUACGUCUAUGGUAUGAAAAAGGGUCAAGAAAUAGUAAAUGUUCUACAGAUAAUGAUAAUUGGAUCAUGCAAGGUGUUGACCUUAACUACUCUCCAACUGACUCUGAUUCAGAGUCAACCGAUGAAGAAACCAGUUUAAAAAAUGUCCUCUUAGUUACAGGCCCAGUUGGGAGUGGGAAAUCUGCAGCUAUUUAUGCAUGUGCCAAAGAGCAAGGUUUUCAAGUUAUUGAGGUGAAUACAUCAGAUUGGAGAAAUGGUGCACUUGUGAAGCAAAAAUUUGGGGAAGCUGUAGAAUCACACUGGCUUAAAUGUUCUGCCCCCAAUCAUGAAAACCCAGAUAACAAGAAUCAAUUGAAGUCAUCAGAUGAUGUUAUUGAGCUGAUACCAUUAUCAGAUGACGAGGAUUCAAAAGAUGUUAAACCAAUAGACAAGGACAAUAAAAUUUCCUCUUCCCAAAACGGAAUCAAAACCCUAAUUCUUUUUGAGGAUAUUGAUGCAACUCUAUAUGAAGAUCGUGGUUUUAUUUCCACUAUACAACAGCUUGCAGAAACAGCAAAGCGACCAAUGAUAUUAACCAGCAACAGUGAUGAUCCUGAUCUACCGAAUAACUUAGAUAGGAUAGAGGUUAGCUUUAGAAUACCAUCUUCAAAUGACCUUCUCAGCCUUGCAAAAAUGGUUUGCACUGCAGAAAAAGCCGAAAUUAACCCUUCCCUGGUGGAACGAUUUAUCGACUACUGCCAAGGUGAUAUUCGUAAAACCAUUAUGCUUCUCCAGUUUUGGUGCCAGGGGCAAAAUCGGAAAAAAUGUCCGGAUAAUGAAAUGCAUAAUACCUAUGCUCCACUGCUGUUCGAUACUAAUGCGAGUCAUCAUGUGCUACCACAACUGAUCCCAUCUGGUCACACUUCCAAGCUUUCUGAAAUUAUUGAAAAAGAAAUUACAAAAUCAAGUUUGUUAGCAGAAAAAUAUGAUAAUACAAUGAUGGAGAUAAUCGAGGAAGAAGAUGAAAACAUCGAGGCCAAAAAAGACGAAAUGCUACGCCAGCAUGGCUCUGAUCAGGAGGAUGAAAAUAAAUUUUCAGCUCAGUGCUUUCCAAGUUGCUCGAGUUCCCCAGUUGCAUUCACCAAAAGAACCCUUCAGAAAAAACAUGACCCUGGAAUGUCUGAUUCCGGAGAUUGCUUACCGGAUGUACCCGAGGAUGUAAUUGAAGAAGUGGUCGUUGAAAAAAGGAUUAGGAGGAAAUACAAUUCCGUUAUGUCUUCCGAUUCCGAAGAUGAGUGUUUUGAUGUGUCAUGUGUUCCGGAAUCCACUUUUGUUCCCGAGACAGAACUCGGGAAUGGAAUGUGUUCUGAUGGCGGAAUCGAAGAUGGUGCCAUGAGCAUGGAUAUUACAUCAAGAACUGUGGCAAUGGAGUUUCAUAAUUCUUGUGAAGAAGAUAAAGCUCCAUCAAUGGCGGUUGCAGCGGAUUCCGGUUUGGAUUCAGCACCAAUUCACGGGGAAGAAAUGGGUGAUUCCCAUGUUGAACCGAUGGGGGGUCUCCCGAGGGAAUAUCAAAUGAUGGAUGAGUGUAGCCGAAUUGAUUUCAAUAAGAAAUUGGAACCGGAAUCGGAAUUGGAAUCAGUAGAUAUUGUACAAGAAACAUGGAGAAAACUACGUAACUGUGAGCAUGAGUUAAGGCAAUAUGUUUCCAAUGAGGAAAAAGAUAGUUUAGAAGCUUUACAAAUUUCUCAUGGAAUAACUAAUUUAAUCUCCGAAGCUGAUUUAUUACUUUCCGAUUGCCAGUUAUUAACAUGUGAUUAUUUAAAACCAUCGAUGGUUUCACCUGAGAAAUCACACUCGUCCAGCUGGCAUGAAGACCAACUGCAAAUGGGGUCAACAAUAGGUCAACAUGGAUUCUGUUUAUAUGCAAAAAAAGGGUCAAAUGGUCAACUGGAUUUGAGUCGGGAGAUGCUGGCAGCAUCGAAUAACGCUGUUUCUUUGGGAAAAUUAAUCAACCAAAACCAUUUAAACAAGAAAAUUCAUAAUAGCGGAGUCUCCUUAAAAAGCAUACUAGAAUCGCCAAUUUCCAAUACAGUUCAAUCAAUAGUUCCAUUAAAGUCACAAUUAUCAUUGAAAGGCUAUGUGUUCCAUGAAUACCUCUCCACACUCUCCCAAAUUUCAAGAUCAGAAUCUUUGCGUUUUUCAGAAGCCAUUAACAGUUCAAACCAAAGAAGAAAGAGGGUGGCUCGAAAUUACUUGAGUAAUGGUGGAUUAUCCUUAUCAAGUGAAGAUAUUUCGUUGCUGGACCAGUAUAGUUGCUGCCAGAAACAAUCAUCUGAAACAAAAUUUUAGUGUAGAAAUAUAAAAGAAUAAAAGAUGGAGAAAAGUUGACGGAUCAAUGAUAGAACAUAGAAGGCAACUUAUUGCAAAGAUCCUCGCCAUAAAAGCAGGGGCGUGUAUCCACUAUCCAAGUCAAAAUAGGACCAAACUCCAACAAAAGAAAAAAACAAAAUUCUUCCAAAAUCUGUGAAUCAAUUUAUUUAAUCAGUUUUUCAGGUACUAUUAUUUAAACUUUGAAAUCAAAUCUAUGGGUACAAUGAUUAUUUCACAAUAGAUUUAGAAUAAAUGACACAAAUAUGAACAUCGGGUCUUCUCCCA